rnacentral:rRNA from 1 species
AGUGGCAGACGGGUGAGUAACAUGUAGGUAUCUGCCCUUUGGCCUGGAAUAACACGAGGAAACUUGUGCUAAUACCGGAUAAGUCUUUACGGAGAAAGCUUUAUGCACCAUUGGAUGAGCCUGCACUUGAUUAGUUUGUUGGUGGGGUAAUGGCCUACCAAGACUGUGAUCAAUAGCUGAUUUGAGAGGAUGAUCAGCCACAUUGGGACUGAGACACGGCCCAAACUCCUACGGGAGGCAGCAGUGGGGAAUCUUGCACAAUGGAGGAAACUCUGAUGCAGCGAUGCCGCGUGAGUGAAGAAGGCCCUUGGGUUGUAAAGCUCUUUCGUCGGGGAAGAAAAUGACUGUACCCGAAUAAGAAGGUCCGGCUAACUUCGUGCCAGCAGCCGCGGUAAUACGAAGGGACCUAGCGUAGUUCGGAAUUACUGGGCUUAAAGAGUUCGUAGGUGGUUGAAAAAGUUGGUGGUGAAAUCCCAGAGCUUAACUCUGGAACUGCCAUCAAAACUUUUCAGCUAGAGUUUGAUAGAGGAAAGCAGAAUUUCUAGUGUAGAGGUGAAAUUCGUAGAUAUUAGAAAGAAUACCGAUUGCAAAGGCAGCUUUCUGGAUCAUUACUGACGCUGAGGAACGAAAGCAUGGGUAGCGAAGAGGAUUAGAUACCCUCGUAGUCCAUGCCGUAAACGAUGUGUGUUAGACGUUGGAAAUUUAUUUUCAGUGUCGCAGCGAAAGCGAUAAACACACCGCCU